rnacentral:rRNA from 1 species
AUUGAACGCUGGCGGAAUGCUUUACACAUGCAAGUCGAACGGCAGCACGGGGGCAACCCUGGUGGCGAGUGGCGAACGGGUGAGUAAUACAUCGGAACGUGCCCGGUCGUGGGGGAUAACGUAGCGAAAGUUACGCUAAUACCGCAUACGAUCUGAGGAUGAAAGCGGGGGACCUUCGGGCCUCGCGCGAUCGGCGCGGCCGAUGUCAGAUUAGGGAGUUGGUGGGGUAAAGGCGUACCAAGCCGACGAUCUGUAGCUGGUCUGAGAGGACGACCAGCCACCCUGGGACUGAGAUACGGACUAGACUCCUACGUGAGGCAGCAGUGGGGAAUAUUGCACAGUGGGCGCAAGCCUGAUGCAGCAACGCCGCGUGCGGGAUGACGGCCUUCGGGUUGUAAACCGCUUUCGCCUGUGACGAAGCGUGAGUGACGGUAAUGGGUAAAGAAGCACCGGCUAACUACGUG